AGGAGCUUUCUGGAGGGCCCCCCCUCAAUCCUGUUGUGCUCGCUUCAGAGGGUUGGGUGGAGGCUCUCCUGAAGGUGUC
rnacentral:pre_miRNA from 1 species